ACACCGGCAGCUCUAGUGGUAGCUGUUUUUAUUGGGCCUAAAGCGUUCGUAGCCGGUUUGGUAAGUCACUGGUGAAAUCCUGUAGCUUAACUAUGGGAAUUGCUGGAGAUACUGUUGAACUUGAGGUCGGGAGAGGUUAGCGGUACUCUCAGGGUAGAGGUGAAAUUCUGUAAUCCUGGGAGGACCACCUGUGGCGAAGGCGGCUAACUGGAACGAACCUGACGGUGAGGGACGAAAGCUAGGGGCGCGAACCGGAUUAGAUACCCGGGUAGUCCUAGCCGUAAACGAUGCGGACUUGGUGUUGGGAUGGCUUUGAGCCGCUCCGGUGCCGAAGGGAAGCUGUUAAGUCCGCCGCCUGGGAAGUACGGUCGCAAGACUGAAACUUAAAGGAAUUGGCGGGG
rnacentral:rRNA from 1 species